GUGGCAGGCAGCGCUGCUCCGAGCUCUGACUCAGCCGGGCAGCCCAGCCCUAACUGCUGUUGACACGUGAUAACACGUGUUUGUUUAGCUGGAGCCACUCACCCAAGGGGUUAAUGUUCAACUCCCCCGUCCCCCGGAGCCGUGGCAGGUUGCUGGGUGGCGAGACCCUCGCCAGCCGGGCUGUGCUUCCUCCCCAGACAGCGAUGUCCUGUCUCAGGCACGGUGCAGCCAGGAAAACAGGAUUUCAAGCAGAGAAGGAUUGAAUCCGGGCUCUUAGGCGCUUCUAGAACCCCUGAAAGAGCUGGAAGAGUGAAGAGCAGGCAGCACCCCCCGCCCCGACCUUGGUGUUUGGAAAUCAGGAAGUGCCGGAAUUGCAGGCGCCCCUGCACCACAACUGGCAUGGCUCCAUGAGCAGUGUACAGGUCUGCACCCGGGAUCCAAACUUGUG
rnacentral:lncRNA from 1 species